rnacentral:rRNA from 1 species
AGUGAACGCUGGCGGUAGGCCUAACACAUGCAAGUCGAACGGCAGCACAGUAAGAGCUUGCUCUUACGGGUGGCGAGUGGCGGACGGGUGAGGAAUACAUCGGAAUCUACUUUUUCGUGGGGGAUAACGUAGGGAAACUUACGCUAAUACCGCAUACGACCUACGGGUGAAAGCAGGGGAUCUUCGGACCUUGCGCGAUUGAAUGAGCCGAUGUCGGAUUAGCUAGUUGGCGGGGUAAAGGCCCACCAAGGCGACGAUCCGUAGCUGGUCUGAGAGGAUGAUCAGCCACACGGGAACGGAGACACGGUCCAGACUCCUACGGGAGGCAGCAGUGGGGAAUAUUGGACAAUGGGCGCAAGCCUGAUCCAGCCAUACCGCGUGGGUGAAGAAGGCCUUCGGGUUGUAAAGCCCUUUUGUGGGGAAAGAAAAGCAGCAGGUUAAUACCCCGCUGUUCUGACGGUACCCAAAGAAUAAGCACCGGCUAACUUCGUG